rnacentral:rRNA from 1 species
UCUCUCUGAAUCUGCGAACGGCUCCGCAAACCAGUUGUAAACUAUAGCAAGCAAUCCUGCGGGUGGCUUCGGCUGCUCGUGGGUAACAUGGAUAACCCUGGUAAUUCUGAGGCUAAUACAAGAACGUACUCCCUGGCUGACCGGCAACGGAAGGCUGGGGAGCGUGCAACGUAUCGUAGGGAUAAACCGGGAAUGGGUGCACGCUUGGACCGCGCUAAAGACAGAUCUCGGCGAGCCUUCGGGUGAGCCUUGGCCUGAGCGGCUCUUGCUGUGUGCUUCUGACCUAUCAACUAGACGGCAGCGUAAGGGACAUGCUAUGGUUACAACGGGUACAGAGGAUUAGGGUUCGAUCCUGGAGAGUGGGCCUGAGAGAUU